CUGUGGGGUUUUAGUCACUACUGGCUCAGUCUCUUACAGAACACAGUCCCACACUCCACUCCUGGAAGAAAUACCCUUUCCCUGGUCCUCUAUCCAGGUUAGCUCCUCCCACUCCCCAUUGAGAAGAACCCUCGCAACUAAUAAAUAUCUGUCCUGUCCCAUUUACCUGUGUCUUUUGUUCUUCUCAUUCCACUCCGUUGGGAAGGAGUACGUUUUUUAGUCCUGAAGGUAGCAUGGCCUGCUGAAAGCGGUCAGGGCUGGGGUUUUUGUGCAAGUCCAUGGCAAGGUUUUUUCUUGCACCUGCACUGCCCACCCGCCUGGUUGAUCUUCCUGGUCUGCGGCAAUGCGACCAAAGACAUCGGCACUCUGAGCGGCUUCAGUGUCAGCGGGAGGCCAGACGGGGAGGGUGGCGGCUGGUGGAAUGCAAACCGGAACCAUAAUGGCAGCACUUCUGGUUCCGCGUUCCAGCUCUGGGGCGAGUAGGGGCAGGCUGUGAUUGGCUGCAGGGAAUUCAAAUAGCCCGACUGCGGGUGCCGCACUGCCCCUGACACAGAGCAACGCAUCCACUGAGUUACCGGCCGAUCUGAUCCUGCUCUGCCCUGUAACUGUAGUGCUGGAAACUGCCUAGGUAAGGGCAUACCAUUAUCUAAUUAAUCCGGAUUCUUUUUUUUUCGCCAGGCAUUUCCUACAUCACUGACUACUUGCUGCCACCCUCACCCUAAGUCUACCUUCAAUUGAGAUGAAACCUGCCAGAACCAAACAAAAGGAGAAGGAUCCUCCAAACGAUACUCCAAGUGUCUCCACGGAAGAUUCAGGAUCCUGCAUGGCAUGUCCAGAGAUGCCUCUCCCGAACAAAAGGUUAUGCCAGUCUUGCCUAGUAUCUGCAGCAGGGGGGCAACCUCUAGCCUCAGCAGAUAUCAUAUCCCUAAUCAGGCAAACAGUUUCUCAGGAAGUCCAAGCUCUAGCAACUCCCGGAAUAGAACACUCAAGGGAUGACUACCCGAGUGACAGAGGGGACAUAACAGGAUAUUCUGAUGAUGCUGUAGGGAGUGUGUGGGGGGGUCAUAAGAUUAUAUCUCAUAUUUUACUGUAGGUAUUGUGUAACAGAAGGAGAACAUUACACAACUGUGCCUCUAACUCUUUUGCCUUUGUCUCUAGUGUAUCACAGCAAAACCUUUUUUUAAAAAAAAAAAAUAUUGUAUUUGUAUUUUUGUUUUCUUUAAUCCAGUUGCGAUCACUGCAGCAACUACUCAACAAUUCAACACUUUUUAACAAAUGUGUUGAAGGAGAAAAAAAAAAAUCCAUUGCCAUUUUAAAAUAUUCAUGCCUUUCUAAUAGAAAAGAAAGAAAAGAAAAAAAAAUACUUUAUUUCAUAAAUAACCUAACUAAAAUAUUUUUAAAAAAUUGUAAACAGUAAAGUACUAGCUGAAGAAGGGGCAAAAACAGAGCGCUUGGUGCGUUUACUGAGUAUAGGGGAGAGGCACUCCAUGCUGUUUUAGUAGAUUUUCUAAUACUUUUACUUUAUCUUCCAGCAUUUCCUUUUCUUGUUUUAUUUGGUGGAAUGGAAUCCACUUCCCAUUUUUCCCAGAGCCUCUUCUAUUGCUCCUAACCCUAAAUUGCUUGGGUGUAUGGCUCCUCCAGUUAUUUCUGGCAUUCUUUAUAUCCCCAUGCAACUCAUUAAGUGGAGUGCAAACUUGCAUUUUAUUCCACUCUAAUUGUAAAAACCCAAUCCAUUUCUCAUAGUCCAUGUCUGGUUUUACCAUAAGGUUCAUAAAUGUUGUUACCUGUGGUGGGAAUACUGAUAAAAUUAAUUGUCUAAUUUCCAUGUCAGCUUCCAACCUAAGUCUGACCUCAUCUCUUUUACCUGGAUUUAUGUUCUCCACAUCACAUGCACUAUAAAAAUUAAUAAUUCUUCUGGCAAAGUGUGGGGCAGAUUCAUGUGGCAACAAAUUGAUCAGGGAUUGUUCUUUUAUCUGGCUAUUAAUGUAAAGAUUUUCUUUUUACACCCUAGAAGAAACUUGGAAAAGUUCAUUGUGUAGCUUUCCAGCUCAGUUUUCUUAUCUCCAAGAGCCAUCAAAGCAACAUAAAUGAGCCCCACAGCAAUACAUUAUUAAUCCAAAUCAUAAAUUUAUUUAUAUCUGACGUAGGCGCAGGACCAAUUUCAGAUAAUAACAAUUUUGUAUCUUUAAUUCUUAGAGCCUGCCUUAUGGGCUUUAAAGUUAAAUCUUUGUUUCCAUUAUCUCUUUCAGGAGGGGGAUUUUGGAUAGGGCAAACAGGCACAGUUUUUGUAUACAAAUUCUUAGGGUCAGGGUUAUUUGUACUUACAUUUGAAAUUUCACCCUUUGUUGUUGGAACAGUUGUUAAUGUAUUUUGAGACUGCAUGUCUUUUAUAGGGAUGUAG